UGGACAGACGGUGGAGAGUCGCAGAAGUGUUCACAUUACUUCAGCCUUCACGACCAUAACCAGUGAAGUGGUGUCCAUUAGAGGUGUCAGUAUGAGAGGUGACACCAGACCUAAUGGAUCAUAUAUAGAGGUCACUGUUGACAGAAUGCCUCUCCUGGUGAGUGGCUGGUCUUUCACCUUUAUUCUAAAUUGAAAUGUGUCAGAUUCUAUGCACCACUCAACUCCCAAAGUUCUUUCUAUAGGCAGUGUGUCUUCAUUCUUACUAAAAUCCAAACUUUUAAUUCCAUCUGCUCUCUCAUGAGGAGAAAUUGCAGCUAAUACAGCUUUGUUGUUUGACAAGAACUUAAGAAGGUUGAAACCUCCCUUGUAACAUAAUUCUUUGCUCUGCUGAAUAAGAGUGACAGCUUCAUCCAUUGUAGCUACUGACUUCAAACCAUCAUCAACAUAAAAGUUGUUUGUUACAAACUUGGCUGCAUCAGAUCCACACCCGUAGUCAUCUGCAGCUUUCUUAAGUGCAAAGUUGGCUACACUUGGAGAUGAUGUAGCUGCAAACAGGUGAGCUGUCAUCCUGUAUUCAGCUAUCUCAUUAUUAAGGUCACCAUUUUCCCACCAAAGGAAUCUUAACCUAUCUCUGUGUUCUGGGUUGAUCUUCACUUGAUGGUACAUUGCUUCACUAUCACAUACAACUCCAAUGCUUUCUUGCCUAAACCUACACAACACUCCAAUAAGUUUGUUGGUAAGGUCUGGGCCUUGUAACAGGUGACUGACUGACUGACUGACUGACUGUUUAAUGACUGGUUCCUGUAGUUUGCACUACAGUCAGAGACAACUCUCAGCUUCUUUGGCUUUCUCGGAUGAUAGACUCCAUGAUGUGGAAUGUACCAGACCUUACCGUCAUUCCUAACUAAAUCCUUUGUGGGUACAACCUCUGCAUAACCCUUUGUAAUCAUAUCAUCCAUGAACACUUUGUAAUCACCUUUGUGUUGAUUAUCCUUCUCAAGUUUAGCUCUUAACAAACUUGUUGAGUCUCUGCUCUGCUAAUAGUUUGUUGUUUGGAAGCUUGACGUUAUCAUCUUUAAGAGGAAGGGGCAACUCAUAAUGGCCAUCCUUCAGCUGAUGUACUCCUUCUUUCAUCUUACUCAUAAAUAAUAAACCUUUUACCUUCAUAUGAUAAUGGAGUGUCAGCUGAUUUACUUUACUUGGGAAUGACCACAUUGGUUUUUCCUCAAUUGCUUUGGCCAUGAAAGUUCUACCCCCUCUAUUAUUUGUCAUGAUGUUUGAUUCCCUUGGUUUCCAAUUGGUUGCCCUUGUGUGAGUUUUGAUCCAGUCAUUUACUUCCCUACUUACUGAAUUCCAGGAAACAAAGGGAUUGCUUGCUCCCUUUGCUUCUUUGUGGACAAAUUGACAUAACAUUUGCAAGGGUGGGUGGUGGUCUUCAUUGCUACUAGGGGUGUUGUUAUUACUGUUAGUAUCAAGAUAUAUCAUUGCUUGCUUUCUCCAGUCAUGAACAAUGUGUUCAGGGAGUUUUGCUAGCACCUUUCUCUGCUCUCUAGGG